CUUGUCGCGACAUGUUGGUGUGAGGUGUCUGGCACUGUCCGUGCGCUAUUGUGCGCAUAGGCCGUGGACAACGCUGAACUAGACAGAUUAAGUAAAAAAAAAACAGUUCAAAAAAAGUACCGUUUUUCGCAAAUAAAUACGUAUUUCGCGAGUCGCACAGAAAACAAGAGCGCUGCGCGCAGUAUGUAUUGACAGAGGUUUGACUUUGCUUUGUUUUACGCAUAAUACAAAGCAUAAAUUAUUUCAGUUUUAUGAAAGCCGUUCAAGUGUAAAAGUCUCAUAAUAUUCAAUUAUUACUUUGAGUUACCCAUUUUUUUAACUAAGUUGUCGAGGUUCUCUGAAUUUUUUUAUGGGCAAUGAGUGAUUAUCGAAAAAGAUUGAGCGGUGCGGAAUAUCGUAAAAGGAAAUCAGAAAAAUCAUCAAAACAAGAAACUUUACUGAAUCAAAUUCCAAAAAUAUCUAAUUUUAUAACGAGAUCAGAAAAACUUGUAAGUGAAGAUCAGCAAGCAUCAGGUUCAUCGGACCCGGGAUUAGAUGACACUUCAGCACAAGAUACCAAACAAAUACAAUCGAAUUCUGCUUUAUUGCAAGAUACAAAUACAAACAAAACGUCGUCAACAUUUCUUUCAUUAGAAAAUGCGGAAGAAAGUCAAUCAACAAAUGAUAUGUUUCAAUUGAGUGGUGAUCCUUUUCUAUGGAAUAUAAAUGAUGAAACACGAGAUUUUAUAACUAUAAACGGUUUACCACAAAAUAAUGUAACGGAUUUUAAAAAUUCACGAAAUUUUUAUAAUGAUAAAACGAGAUUUUGUUCUUAAAGCUUAUUCCAACGUAAUUUAAAGAACGGAGAAAUUCAACAUCGUGAGUGGUUAAUUUAUUCAGAAAGUAAAGGAUCAGUAUUUUGUGCUCUAUGUUUACUAUUUGGUAAGAGUGGUGAAGUAAACGCUUUUACUGGUCAAGGCUUUAUAGAUUGGAAAAACUCAAAAGCGCGCAUUGAAGCUCAUGAAAAUUCUGACUUUCACAAAACUAACAUUAGUCACUUCAAAGCUCGAGCUGUCAUUCAAGGCCGUGUUGAUCAACGUUUAAUGGUGCAGCUCGCUGAAGAAAUUUUAUACUGGAAAAAAGUUUUUCAUCGAUUAAUUGUGAUAAUUAAAUCUCUCGCAAUAAGAGGGCUGUCAUUUAGAGGACAUUCAGAACGAAUUGGAGAUCCCCAUAAUGGAAAUUUUUUAGGUUUAGUCGAGCUUCUUGCCAAAUUUGAUCCGUUUUUAUCAGAACAUUUAAAAUUAUAUGCGCACCCUGGCCGUGGAAAUACUUCGUAUUUAUCUAAGACAAUCUACGAAGAAAUUAUAUUAUUAAUUCAAAAUAAAGUAUUGCAACAUAUUUCUAAAGAAGUGCAAUCCGCUAAGUAUUUUGGUGUAAUUGUGGAUUCCACGCCUGAUAUUGCUCAUGUUGACCAACUCACGAUAAUUAUUAGAUAUGUACGUAACAAUGGUAAAAUUGUCGAAAGAUUUCUGGAAUUCAUUCCAAAUACUGGCCAUAAGGCUAAAGAUAUUGAAGAUUCUUUGUUAAAAUCUCUUGAGGAUAAUGGUUUAAAUAUAAUGAAUUGUCGUGGUCAAUCUUACGAUAAUGCAAGCAACAUGUCAGGUUUAUAUUCAGGAGUGCAAGCACGAAUCAAAACAACUAAUCCAUUAGCUGAAUAUGUUCCUUGUGCUGGUCACUCUUUAAAUUUAGUGGGAACUUGUGCAGCUGAAUCUGUUACCAAAGCAGUUGACUUUUUUUCUACUUUGCAAGAAUUAUAUAAUUUUUUUACCGUUUCGACACAUCGUUGGGAAAUUUUAAGACAGCAUACAAGUUUAAGACUUAAAAGCCUUUCUUAAACUCGUUGGUCGGCUCGACAUGAUGCAUGCUACACAUUAGAAAAAGAGUGGACUGGAAUAAUUGUUGCACUAAACUUUAUUGGUGAAAACAAAGAUGAAAAACCUACUACGCGAGCUGAAGCUAAGGGACUGCAGCAAAAAUUACAACAUCUAGAAAUAGCAAUUCUAGUAAAUGUUUGGAAUGCAAUUUUGAAUCGCUUUAAUGCUGCGAGUAAGAAGCUUCAGAAUUCUCAAGCUGAUUUAUCAUCUGUGAUAAGAAUAUAUAGUUCUUUGGCAUUAUUUCUCCAAGAUAUGAGAGAAAAACAAUUUUCUGAUUAUAAAAAAAAAGCCAAAGCACUAUCGGGAGUUCAGAACUAUUACCACUAUGACACCCGUCGUAAAAAAACCCGAAAACUUCAGGCUGAGGAGUCACGGGAAAAUGAAAAAACAGCUUUAUCUGGAGAAGAAAAUUUUCGAACCAACGUUUACUAUCUAAUUUUAGAUACUUUAAGUGUACAAUUGACAGGACGUAAAAGUGCUUAUCAUAAUCUUUACGAAAAAUUUAAUUUUUUUGACAAUUUAUAUGAAAUAGAUACCAAUGAAUUAAAAAUUCGCGCAGAUGAAUUAGUUACUAAGUAUUCUGAUGAUUUGGAAGAUACUUUCGCGAAUGAAUGUAUUCAUUUGCACUGUCAACUCAAAGAUUCUCUAAUGAACACAAAAGAUAUUCGUUCCGCGCAAGGAAUAUACAAUUUUUUGCAUUCUCAAAAUCUUCAAGAUGUUUAUCCAAAUGUAGACAUUGCUCUACGUAUUUUUUUGAGUAUUCCGGCUACGAACUGUUCAGGAGAAAGAUCUUUUUCUUCCUUGAAAAGAGUCAAAACGUAUUUACGCGCAAGUAUGGGCCAAGAGAGACUCAAUGCUUUAGCACUACUGUCAAUUGAAGCCCAACUAGUUCAAGAAAUUGAUUACAACGACAUAAUUGAUUAUUUUGCUCAGACGAAAGCCAGAAAGAAGAUAUUUAAAAAUUAAGUUAUAUUAUAUAUUUAAGAAAACUGACUGUACUGACUGACAACAUAAAUUAAUAUUUAUUUGUAUUGUUUAACAAUUAUACUUUUAUGAAAUAAAUAUUGUAUCUUAAUAAUAUGAA